UCAUUUCUACCAAAAAAAUCCAAAGAUCUUUUGAGGAAAAGAGAUGAAUAUGACGAUAUUGCUUUAAAAGAUAAUUUGGCUUCACAAAAAAGAGCUAGAGUUUCUUGGACCCCAGAGCUCCAUGCAAAAUUUAUCAAUGCUGUUAAUCAGUUAGGCAUAAAUAAGGCGGUUCCAAUAAAAAUACUUGAUAUCAUGGACAUACCAGGACUGACGAGAGAAAAUGUCGCCAGCCAUUUACAGAAGUACAGAAAAGGCUUGAAAAGAAAUACAAUUGAGCUUAACCAACAAAUUUUUUAUAAUGCUAAAGCAAGAAGAGAAAGUGAAAAUCAAUUUGAAUCUCAACAAUUCGCUUUAAACAAUGAUCUUAAUGAUAACAAUAUGUUUGAUGAGCUUGCAAUAUUAUUAGCAUGUACGUAUUUGAAGAUUUAAUGUUUACUUCUUAUUAUUGAUUUUUUUUUUUAAUUUGUGAUAUAGUCAUAAUCAAUUGUUUAUGACAAUGAAU